rnacentral:lncRNA from 1 species
AAAAGAAUUAGUCGUCCAACGCUAUGUUAACAAAUACGUGAAAAGUUUUAUUAUUCGGUACACUUCAACAAGUUCCUUAUCAAUAGGUUUCGGAGAAAGGGAAAAAUGAGCAAUGAUUGCUCGACGAUCUUCAUGAGACUAGACUUGGUGAAUCAUUCUGAAGAGACUACUGAAAUAAAUGCUAUGAAAUUUUGAUUCCAACUAAUGUCAACCUAUUUAACAAUCUAAACUCUAUAUCCUUUUUGGACCUUUCCUUGAAUCCGGAGUUGAACAAAUCUUUUACUUGCAAAAACUACAUCUACAAUUUUACUUCUAAUGAAGUGACACCAUUAUGGAUGGUUUAAGUGUGUUGUUUAGCACCUUUCCCUUUACCAAAAACAACCUAGUGUAUGGGCCAAAAAGAUUUCAUCCCUCUAUACCUCUUGAUACAAUGCAUUCUUUCAAUUAGGAAAGAGCUCUGCCGUAUUAGGCAGAAAAUCAAUUCACUUAUCGUAUUAAGUAGUUUAUCUCUUUACAUAUUGCAUGUAUACUAGGCUGGAAAUCCCAACCAUGAAGACCAAGAAAUGAUGGUCAUCUCUAAAUAUAAAUAGUUUAGGAUCAUAAGAAUUGACUGUGAUAAUAUUCUUCUUCUUGUAAAUCGAAAGUGUAUGGAAUUUGUUUGUUAAUUUUAUUUAUCAUGCUACUCCAAUUUCCCUUGAUUAUUUGCAAGGAUGUUGAUGUUCGGUCAUUGUUGACUAUCCCCUAUUGACUUGUGCCUUAAGGGUUCUCCUGCUGUUGUAUUGCUUUACAUGGAUGACAUUAUUUGCAUCUAAUAAUGAUUACAAUGCCAAUACUAUUCUUAGGACCUUUGUCCCUGAAUCUUGUAGAAGAUCUUGUAGCACUCAAAUAUCUGAGAGGCAGAGGUUUUUUCACUUCAGUUCUGACAUGUGCAAUUUAAUACACUUCAGACACUUAUUUUAGUACUCGAACAGUUCUGCAUGCUGCCCUUCCUGCUAACAUUACAUUGGUUGUGUUAUUCCAUGUUCCCAUUAUUUUUGCAGAAAUUCUGCAAUUUGUCCAUAUUCUCGGAUAGUAUUACGUUAACUUAACACACUUUAUCCUACUGCUGGAUCAUGGUUUCUCUGCUAUCUUAAAGGCUCGGUUAGACAAGACUUGUUUUCUCCUUCCCAUAAUCCUUUUGAAAUAAAGAAAUCUAUAAUGCUACGUAAGAUAGAUAUUGCUCGAUCAGUUCAGUGAUGGUAUAUUGCAUGAUUUGGUUAACUUCAUUAUUUUUUGAAAACCAUAGUCAAAAGAUAAUUGCUCAUGGUGUGGCAAAGGGGUAGUCACAAACCAUGGUAUUUGUGUGUUAUGAGCUUACAUAUCCUUUUACUUGCUGCAUGAUUUAAGUGUUUGACACACUCUUCUUGUCCUGCUUUCUAUUGUCGAUGAAGGUGCUUAUUGC